rnacentral:rRNA from 1 species
UACGGAGGGUGCAAGCGUUGUCCGGAUUUAUUGGGUUUAAAGGGUGCGUAGGCGGCUGAUUAAGUCAGUGGUGAAAGGCAGCAGCUUAACUGUUAGCACGGCCAUUGAUACUGGUUAGCUUGAGUACAGUCGAGGUAGGCGGAAUUGAAGGUGUAGCGGUGAAAUGCAUAGACAUCUUCAAGAACACCUAUUGCGAAGGCAGCUUACUAGGCUGUAACUGACGCUGAUGCACGAAAGCGUGGGGAUCGAACAGG